CCGUAKCGGGUGCGAGGCCCAUAGCCGCCGCCUUCGUCUCGGAUGCGAUCUCCUUGGAGUCGGGUUGCUUGGGAGUGCAGCCCCAAUCGGGUGGUAAACUCCACCUAAGGCUAAAUACCGCCGUGAGACCGAUAGCAAACAAGUACCGUGAGGGAAAGUUGCAAAGAACUUUGAAGAGAGAGUUCAAGAGUACGUGAAACUGCUCAGAGGUAAACGGGUGGGCCCUCGAAUUCCUGUGGCGAGAGGAUUCAGUCUGGUCGGGCGGACGUGCAGUYGGAAAACCGAGCAGGGCUUCCCGGGACCGGGGCCGUCCGACAGCGCGUCCUCUGUCCUUUCAGACGCAUUUGUCUCUCGUCCGAAGGACGCUGCAGCCGGUCUGGCAGUGCAAGCGCGACGGCCUGAAGGUCGGGAACCGGCAGGUGGCCGGCGGCCUGCGUCACGCGGGCUGUCGGUUGUUAGCCAUCCCGUCAGUGGCCCGUCGCCAGACCGAGGUGUCGCGAGUCCCUUCGGGGACUCCUCGUCUCCACCCCAGAGUCGCGGGACAGGGCGUGGCAAGGGAACCGUACAUCGGCUGCCGUCGCACUCUCCAGGAGUGGGCGGCGGCGUGCGGGACCCCGUCAGCCGCGACGGACCCGUGGGGGAUCGGAGGCUGGCAGCGAGUAGGUCGGUCACCCACCCGACCCGUCUUGAAACACGGACCAAGGAGUCUAACAUGUGCGCGAGUCAAUGGGUCUUGACUAGGCCCAGGGGCGCAAUGAAAGCGAAGGACCGCCUCKCGCGGUCUGAGUGGGGAUCCCUCCCUUGACCGGGGGGGCGCW
rnacentral:rRNA from 1 species